rnacentral:rRNA from 1 species
UACGUAGGAGACGAGCGUUGUCCGGAGUUACUGGGCGUAAAGGGUGCGCAGGUGGCCGCGCGCGUGGGGGGUGAAAUCGCCUGGCUUAACUGGGCGGGGGCCUUCCAGACGGCGUGGCUUGAGCAGCGGAGGGGGGCGUGGAAUUCCGGGUGGAGCGGUGAAAUGCGUAGAGAUCCGGAGGAACACCGACGGCGCAGGCAGCGCCCUGGCCGCUUGCUGACACUGAGGCACGAAAGCUGGGGGAGCAAACAGG